AAUGAACGCUGGCGGCGUGCCUUACACAUGCAAGUCGAGCGAGGCGGCCCGCAAGGGUCAGUCGAGCGGCGGACGGGUGAGUAACGCGUGGAUAACCUGCCCAGAGGUGGGGGAUAACCCGGGGAAACUCGGGCUAAUACCGCAUGAUACCGAGAGGUCAAAGGGGGCUCGCAAGAGCUCUCGCCAUUGGAGGGGUCCGCGUCCGAUUAGCUAGUUGGUAGGGUAAUGGCCACCAAGGCGACGAUCGGUAGCCGGCCUGAGAGGUGAUCGGCCACACUGGAACUGAGACACGGUCCAGACUCCUACGGGAGGCAGCAGUGGGGAAUUUUGCGCAAUGGGCUAACGCCUGACGCAGCACGCCGCGUGGAGGAUGAAGGUCUUUGGAUUGUAAACUCCUGUCAGCAGGGAAAAGCAAAUCGCCUAACACGCCGGUGAGUUGAUUGUACCUGCAG
rnacentral:rRNA from 1 species